rnacentral:rRNA from 1 species
AAGCCGGCAAUACUAUGUGCCAGCAGCCGCGGUAAGACAUAGGGGGCGAGCGUUAUCCGGAAUUAUUGGUCGUAAAGGGUGCGUAGGCGGUUAGGAAAGUCUAUAAUUUAAUUUCUGUGCUUAACGCUGUCUUGUUAUAGAAACUACCUUGACUAGAGUUAGAUAGAGGCAAGCGGAAUUCCAUGUGUACCGGUAAAAUGUGUAAAUAUAUGGAGGAACACCAGAAGCGUAGGCGGCUUGCUGGGUCUUGACUGACGCUGAGGCACGAAAGCGUGGGUAGCAAACAGGAUUAGAUACCCUGGUAGUCCACGCCGUAAACGAUGAGUACUAAGUGUCGGGAUAAAACUCGGUACUGAAGUUAACACAUUAAGUACUCCGCCUGAGUAGUACGUACGCAAGUAUGAAACUUAAAGGAAUUGACGGGACUCCGCACAAGCGGUGGAUCAUGUUGUUUAAUUCGAAGAUACACGAAAAAUCUUACCAGGUCUUGACAUGCUCUGCAAAGUUAUA